rnacentral:lncRNA from 1 species
GUGGGGCUGUGUGCUCACCAAGCUCACCGCUCCCACAGGCAUUGUGCUUGACUCUGGGACUAUGGAGAUGAAUAGCUUAGAGUGUUUGACCCCACAUUAGCUCAGAAGACAGAUGUGACCCAAACUAACCAUACUGCGAUGAGGCAACAAGAUUUUAUCUUAUUCACUGAUAUGCCACACAGAUUCUCCAAACUGUUUGAAGCCAGUAAGAGAGAAGGAAGAAAAGACGAUUCUAGGAUGACACCAGAUUUCUGGUUUUGGUAGCUGCAUUGAAGGAAGCUAGUGCUUCAUACCUACUUUCCUUGGGGGAAAAUGAAUGAAAAAGAGACUGAAUUCAAUCUUGAACAUGAUGAGUUUGAGAUGCCCAGAGCAUCCAAGAUAUUGAAAGUUGGAGAUGUUGAGAAUCCAUGGGAUGGACCAGUCUGGAGCUGAAGAAGCCACUGGGAUUAGUACCCUGCAACGUUCAGAUGGUACAAC